rnacentral:lncRNA from 1 species
AAAAAAAUAAAAGGAAAGAGGAAGGAUUCUCACCAGAUCCGGCCUCGUCGCCGCGUUGUCGGAGCCCUCCCCUCCAUUCGGCGUGGUUGAGUCUAAAAAAGGGGGUUGAACCCUUGUCUUUCGUUUUUGGAACGAGUCUCCAACAAGUAAAAAAGAGGGAGGGGAGGGGGAGAGAGCAGGGAAGCUAUCUGUUCUUUUUGUUUAAAAUUGGG